rnacentral:rRNA from 1 species
UUUAGUCAGGCAACGAGCGAGAUCCCUGCUUCUAGUUGCUACCAUUGCUCUCAGGAGUAAUGGGGCUAAUUAGAGGGACUGCCGUCGCUGAGACGGAGGAAGGAGGGGGCUACGGCAGGUCAGUAUGCCCCGAAACCCUCGGGCCACACGCGGGCUGCAAUGGUAAGUACAAUAGGUUCCGAUUCCGAAAGGAGGAGGCAAUCCCGUAAAACUUACCACAGUUAUGAUUGAGGGCUGAAACUCGUCCUCAUGAAUAUGGAAUCCCUAGUAAUCGCGUGUCAUCAUCGCGCGGUGAAUACGUCCCUGCUCCUUGCACA